UCUGGUGAUGAUGGCAAAGAGGUCACACCCGUUCCCAUGCCGAACACGGAAGUUAAGCUCUUCAGCGCCGAUGGUAGUUGGGGGUUUCCCCCUGUGAGAGUAGGACGUUGCCAGGC
rnacentral:rRNA from 1 species